rnacentral:lncRNA from 1 species
CAUUGUGGUUUUGAUUUACAUUUCUCUAAUGAUCAGUGGUAUUGGGCUUUUACUCAUAUGCUUAUUGGCUACACGUAUGUCUUCUUUGAAAAGUGUCUGUUCACGUCUCUUUUUAAUGGGGUUGUUUGGUUUUUUCCUUGUAGUUUAAGUUCUUACUGAUUUUUCAUAAUAGGAAAUGUUCUUAGUAUAGGUUUUAUUUUGUUUUAAAUAAAAUCCUAUUAACUCUAUUAACUGUUUGGGAAGGCAGGUACGAGGGAAAUCAAACUAGAUACAGCCUAAAAGCCAAAAUUUUGGCAUCAAAUAUUAUUUGAAGAUAACUUAGAAGUUAGCAUAAACAUUCUAUAAAUAAAAAUAGAAGAUAGAAAUCAGUGUAUAAAAUACAAUUUACACACCAUUAUUAAAAUAUAUCUUGUGUAAAGUGAGACGCCCAUCUGUUCGGAUUUGCUGUAAGGUUACCAAGGUAUUGAAAUACAGCAAGAAAAAAUAAUGACAAACUGCUUAAUAUAGUCUUGUUUUUAAUGAAGUAGAGUAUAAAUAGAUUGCUGGAAACAGAAUCAUUCAAAGUAAAAGUUUGAGAUGUUUAUAAUGUAUGCUAGUAAACAAGGUAUUAUAUAACAAAAACAGGAUGUAAGUUGAAAUUUACUUUUAAAAAUCUGAUUUGAUGGAUGCUUGGGGCAGAAUCCCAAGUUGGACAGGCAUUAUCUCGUCCUUUGAUCAAUUUCCAUCCGUAAAAUCUGUCAGAGAAGUAACUGGUAGCCUCUGGACACAAAAUAGCUGUGGCCAGCAGCAUACCAACAGCACUACUGUUCCCUUAAAAUGAGGGAGCUAUAAAAGUUUCAAACCAUCUCAUCUCAGAAGCCUGUAUAUAGAUAAAACUUGUUGACUUCUGAGAGAUUAUAUCUGUGUACAUAAUUUGCUACAGAUAAAAUGAACUAGUUCAGUUAAAAUCCUUUCUGAAAUGAUAUGAAAGCAAUUUGUCUUUCAUCUAAAUUGGCUAAUUUUUAAUUUUUUUAUUGACAGUUCACAGCUGAUACUUAAAGAUGAGCUCUGAAGAAAGCAUCAAUACCAUCUAAACCAAUUAUCUUUCAAGAUUUUUUUUUUGUAUAAAAACCAGAAAGAAAAUGUGAUGCUGAUUUUCCUAUUGUUUGUUUGUUUUGAGACGAAGUCUCUGCUGCCUAGGUUGGAAUGCAGCUCACUGCAACCUCUGCCUCCCGAGUUCAAGUAAUUCUCCUGCCUCAGCCUCCCAAGUAGCUGGGAUUACAGCCCUGAGCCACCAUGCCCAGCUAAUUUUUGUAUUUUUAGUAGAGACAGAGUUUCACCAUGUUGGCCAGGCUGGUCUUGAACUUCUGACCUCAAAUGAUCUGCCCUCGGCCUCCCAAAGUGCUGGGAUUACAGGCGUUGAGCCACUGUGCCCGGCCUCUUACUUUUUCCCUGUCCUCUAUAAAUUGCGUUUUCUCUACAUAUAUUUCCUUCUGAGCAUCAGGUUUUUCAUCUGUGAAACUGAGGUUGUACUAGAAUGAUCUCUAGGCUCACUCCCUCCCUGUUCUAGGUUCUGUGUUUGUCGUUUUCAUAUCCUUUCUCCUUACCCUUAUACUUUUAUACUCAGAUGUGGGUGUAGAUGUGGUAUAUGUCUAAAAUAAAACACUUUUCUAAGUCACACAAGGAUAUUCAUAGUUUAUACGUGACAUAGUUUGUGUGAGAAGGGAGGGAAAAAGGACUGUGUCCCUGAUUGUCUCCAAAUUGCUGGGGCCCCAGUUUGUUGUACCAGAGCCUUGUCUAGGCUGAAAAUCUAUCAGACCUUCUGAUUAACUGCCAUCUUUACCUACUAGAGAAGAGCUGGCAGCAAAGCUACUAAGGCCAUAUUUGAUAACAAGAUUAGAAUCAUACACCUGAGAGGUCAACUGAUUUAAUUCCUUAAAUUCUUAAGUUCUUUUUCUUAGAAUUUAAAAGCCAGUUUAACUAUUAAAUACUGAUUUAAUAAAGUACUCAAUACUUCCAAAUAAAAUUAUUUUUGCAUUUGUAUAUCUCUGUGUAUAUACUUGGAACAUAGUAGUAUAUCUUUGUGCAUGUAUAUAUUUGUAUCUGUGAAAUCAUUUCCUGGGAAAUGUAGUUAACUGAGUUAAAGGAUAAGAAUAUGUCUAUGGCUCUAUUACAUAAACAUGCCAUAUUUUGCAGAAUCGUUAAAAUACUACCCGAUGUGAAUGUAUAUACCAAUUUUAACAGAAUUUCAAUGACGUGGGAUGUUGUUUCCAUAGAUAAAAUAUCUUAUUUACAUUUAUUUUACUGGGAAGGUUGAAUUGUGUGUGCGUGUG